rnacentral:rRNA from 1 species
UACAGAGGUCCCGAGCGUUGUUCGGAUUCACUGGGCGUAAAGGGUGCGUAGGUGGUGAGGUAAGUCGGAUGUGAAAUCUCCAAGCUCAACUUGGAAACUGCAUUGGAAACUACCUUGCUAGAGGAUUUGAGGGGGGAUUGGAAUUCUUGGUGUAGCAGUGAAAUGCGUAGAUAUCAAGUGGAACACCAGUGGCGAAGGCGAAUCCCUGGAAAAUACCUGACACUGAGGCACGAAAGCUAGGGGAGCAAACAGG